rnacentral:rRNA from 1 species
UACAGAGGGGGCAAGCGUUGUUCGGAAUUACUGGGCGUAAAGGGCGCGUAGGCGGUCCGGUAAGCGUGUGGUGAAAGCCCGGGGCUCAACCCCGGGUCGGCCGUGCGAACUGCGGGACUGGAGCACUGUAGAGGCAGGCGGAAUUCCGGGUGUAGCGGUGGAAUGCGUAGAGAUCCGGAAGAACACCGGUGGCGAAGGCGGCCUGCUGGGCAGUAGCUGACGCUGAGGCGCGACAGCGUGGGGAGCAAACAGG